rnacentral:lncRNA from 1 species
GGGAUUCUCCAUAAAGGAGUUCCCAUCAUGGCUCAGUAGUUAACAAACUCAACUAGUAUCCAUGAGGACAUAGGUUCGAGCCCUGGCCUUGUUCAGUGGAUUAAGGAUCCAGCAUUGCCAUGAGCUGUGGUUUAGCUCCAAUUCAACCCCUAGCCUGGGAACCUCCAUAUGCCACAGGUGUGGCCCUAAAAAGACAGAAGACACACACAAACAUUUUUUUGAUUUCAAUUUUUUGAAAAAAAUUUCCAAUAAAUACUUAAUUUUUUUUAAAUCUGAAUAGGCCCUCCUAUAAAAUGUACACUUUUUUUGGGGAAAUCCUUGGUGGCCUAGGGGUUAAGAACUCAGCAUUGUCACCUCUGUGACUUGGGUUGCUGCUGCGGCUCAGGGUCAGUCCCUGGCCCAGGGAACUUCUGCAUGCUGCGGAAGUAGCCCCCCCAAAAUGAACCCUUUAUUUCAUUUUUUCUCUGAAUGGAUCCUCAUGCAAAAUGAUAUUUUCCUAGUAAUUUUUUUUUCUCUUUAUGGCUGCACCUUUGGCAUAUGGAAUUUCCCAGGCUAGGGGUCGAAUGGGAACUGCAGCCCUACACCACAGUGACAGCAACGUGGGAUCCGAGACAUGUCUGUGACCUACACCACAGCUCAUGGAAAAGCCAGCUCCUAAACCCACUGAGCAAGCCAGAACCCACGUCCUUAUGGAUUCUAGCCAGGUUCGUUAGCGCUGAGCCAGGAGGGGAACUUCCCAGUAAUAUUUAAGGUCUUCCUCUUCCUGGACAAUCUGAUGUGUAAUUAACAACAGAAGUCAAACCUCAUUGUGCCAGCAGGGGGCGUUCGUCACCCACACUUAAACUGCGCUCUUACUGAUCAUUCAGACUUUGAAGUGACUCUAGGGCCGUUCCUCAGCAGAACGGAGGAGAAGUUGAUCUUUCCUGGGUGAGGACAUUUAGGGCCUGAGAUGGUGUCCGGAGGGUAGAGACUUGCGUGGUUCCAAAGAGCAAAGCUGCCCCAGGCUCUGGGGAGGAUGUGAGUGCUGGUUGCAGCUCUGAUAUGUCCUGUCUCUUCUGGGAGCUUUGAAAACUCCUGCCCGGGCUCCACCCCAGACUGAGUAAAUCCGGAUCCUGGGGGAACCCAGGAACCAGCAUUUUAAAACUCUCCAGGUUACUGCAGUGUGCAGUGGGUCUGUGCAACCCUGGGUUGGAAGCUUAAUCCUCCUCCAUAGGCCAGGUGAGCUGAUGGUUGGUGAGUUUACCUGGGACAUAUAGGCCAUUGUGGCUCCAAAUUUCAGUUACACAUAAAAACCCCCAGGAGAAGAGAGGCUGUUGAAAGUGUAGAAUCCAAGUUUCGCCUUCAGAGAAUUUUUUUUUUUUUUUUUUUUUUUUUAGUGCCACACUUGCAGCACACAGAAGUUCCCAGGCUUGGGGUCAAAUUGAAGCUACAGCUGCCGGCCUACCCCACAGCCACAGCAAUGUGGGAUCAAGGCCAGGGAUCGAAUCUGCGUCCUCAUGGAUAGUGGUUGAAUUCAUUUCCACUGUGCCACAGUGGGAACUCUUCAGAAAUUGUGAUUCAUCAUUAGGGGUAAAGGACCAGAAACUGGCAUUUUGAUAUGCUCUUUUAAGGGUCUAAUCCAUCUGGUUCUGGAAUCCCAUUUUAGGAAACAUUUGAUCUUAGCAGACUGUGUCUCAGAGGGUAGGAGACCCAGUACAGAGAAGGGGGCGGGUAGUGCCCAUGGGGCCUGGGCUCUGGAGCCUGGGGGCUAAGGGCACAGUAGGUGGGCUCAGCUCCGAGCAGAGACGGGAUGAGACAUGAAGGCGACAAGGAGGAGCUGGCGAAGGUCUUGUUGCAGACCAGCUCCCUCCUGCUCUCUGAUUCCCACCUCGGGUUUGGGGCCCAGGCAUGGCAGGCAGUCUCUCCUGCCCCCUUAGUCCCCAGUGGGCAGGGAUAGAGCCCCCACCCCUGCUCUAGGUUUUGCAGCAGAGCCUGGAGCUGGACCAUCACUGCAGCCGUUAGCUGGGUGACCUGUCGUGAUUCCUCUGCUGUCACGCCUGCGCUUGCCACUCGGUUUCAUAGAAUGUUCCAGCUGUCAGGUCCAAACCCACCUCCUGCUGUAGGCAGACGAGCAGUGCCAUCCAGCCGUCACAUCUCUUGUAACACUCUCACCCCAGGCAGCACUCAAUGUCCCAUCCUUCUUCCUGGAUUGAAUCGAAACUGCAUCUCUGUAAUCACCACCCGCAGUUGUAAGACUGCCCUCUCAGCCUUAGUCUAGACAAUCAUUUACAUUUGUAGACCCUUGAAAUGUCUUCUUCUCCAGGCCAAAUGGGCUCAGAAUGUAUUGGUUCUGGAACACUCACUUUACCAAUAUAUCACUUAAAGUGUAUUUUCUUUUCAGCCCAUUCUGUUCCUUGUAGCUGCUCUAAAGCUCUGCCUGCAAUUUGUUCAUUCGGGCAUGGCUGGAAGAGGCGUGGGGGGAGUAAGCAGGAGAGAUUGGGAUAUGAUGUUUCCAUCUGUUCACCAGUGUCUCCUAUGUGUUGCUGUGGGCCAGGCGCCAUGGAGGAAGGAGGACCCUGGGGACUGGGGCCCGAUAUGGGACCCGAAGGAGGGCUUCUGGGAUAAUCAGAGAUAAAAAAAGCAUCAUCCUCGCCCCUCACCCCCUCCAUACAAAGUAAGAAAGAGAGAGGAAUCCUGGAGUUCCUGUGGCGGCUCAGCAGGUUAAGAACCCAACUAGUAUUCAUGAAAAUGAGGGUUUGAUUCCAGGUCUCCCUCGGUUAGUUAAUGAUCUGCUGUUGCUGUGAGCUGCAGUGUAGGUCGAAGACAUGGCUCGGAUCUGGCGUUGCUGUGGCUGUGGUGUAGGCUGGCAGCUGUAGCUCUGAUUCGACCCCUAGCCUGGGAACUUCAUGUGCUACAGAUGCAGCCCUAAAUGAAA